rnacentral:rRNA from 1 species
GACGAACGCUGGCGGCGUGCUUAACACAUGCAAGUCGAACGGUGAAGCGCCUUCCUUUUUGGUUGGUGUGGAUGAGUGGCGAACGGGUGAGUAACACGUGAGUAACCUGCCCCCUUCUUCUGGAUAACCGCAUGAAAGUGUGGCUAAUACGGGAUAUUCUGCGCCUGCUGCAUGGUGGGUGUGGGAAAGAUUGUGCCUUUGGGUGUUUUCGGUGGGGGAUGGGCUCGCGGCCUAUCAGCUUGUUGGUGGGGUGAUGGCCUACCAAGGCGGUGACGGGUAGCCGGCCUGAGAGGGUGGACGGUCACACUGGGACUGAGACACGGCCCAGACUCCUACGGGAGGCAGCAGUGGGGAAUAUUGCACAAUGGGCGCAAGCCUGAUGCAGCGACGCCGCGUGAGGGAUGGAGGCCUUCGGGUUGUGAACCUCUUUCGCCAGUGAAGCAGGCCUGCUCCUUGUGGGUGGGUUGACGGUAGCUGGAUAAGAAGCGCCGGCUAACUACGUG